rnacentral:sRNA from 1 species
AAGUUUAGGCAACUCAUACCGAAGACAGCAGGUGCAAUCAGCUUAAUUUCCUGCCGAGGCUAAUGUCAUAAAAUUUUAAUUUCUCUUACUAUACGAUACACAGCAGUGGUAAGUAGAAAUUAUAAGGCAUGACCUCUGGCAAACAGCUAGAGGUCUUUUUUAUUGGUGUA